rnacentral:rRNA from 1 species
AGAACGAGCGCUGGCGGCAGGCUUAACACAUGCAAGUCGAACGGUUGUAGCAAUACAGCAGUGGCAGACGGGUGAGUAACACGUGGGAACCUUCCUAGGGGUACGGAACAACUCAGGGAAACUUGAGCUAAUACCGUAUACGUCCGUGAGGAGAAAGAUUUAUCGCCCCUAGACGGGCCCGCGUAGGAUUAGGUAGUUGGUGAGGUAACGGCUCACCAAGCCUACGAUCCUUAGCUGAUCUGAGAGGAUGAUCAGCCACACUGGGACUGAGACACGGCCCAGACUCCUACGGGAGGCAGCAGUGGGGAAU